UGUUGCAGUGGAGCGUGAGCCGCGGCUGCGGCUCCUGGUUCUUGUGGAAGCACCGACCAUGUGCCGAGAGCUAACUGUGUCAAGAAGAGCAUGCUUCAGUUGGCUGGAGUGAGCAAUUCAACUUGUGGAGGAGUGAGAAAUGUUAGUGUUGAGACAAGAAACGUAAAACCCCAGGGUAAGGUAGGAAUCAGUGAAAGGCAGAGGAACUGCCGUCCAGUAAUGAGUUAGGCUUUGCUGGCUUCUGGCCCUACAGAUGACUCUUUGGAGAGGAAAAAAUUAAGCUAGGCCCGAGGGCACAGAUCCUAAGGGAAUGCUGGCAGCCUAGGCUGUCUAUGGAAGAGAAGCAGAGGGUGGCACCUGGUUGAAAGAGGGGGUUGGGGGACAGAGCUUGAGGCUGUGUUUACAGAUGGAGUCCUCUGAUUCCUGUGACUGGGGAAGGAGAUCGUGCUGGAUCAGGGCACCUCAAAUCAGAACUCUUCCCACCCACACCCCUUCUUUUCAGGGCGUCUUUCAUUGCAAACAGUAGAUAAACUAGUUGGAAAACUCAGCAGAUUCUCACGGUGGUGCCUAGCAGGCCAGGCCUAGCUGCCGUUUAAGCUGUGACUGAGGGUGAUGCCACUGGCCUGUAAACACACAUUGGACAAUCUUUACGUCCGUGGACACGCCAUGCCCCACAGAGACAGCUGUGCAUGGUUCUUUAGGUUUGGGGUGCUGUGCUGGCAGUUGCCUGAUAAAUGUGUAGGAUUAAAAUGGGAUGCCCUGGAGCUUAGCUAACCUUUAUCCCCCCUCCCCCCUCUAAAAUGAAGGGGCUGCUAGUUUUGUUUGCUUUAUGAAAGAUGGAUCUGUUAUUGUUUUUAGAACCUUUGGAGAAAGAUUUGUUGGGAGGAAGCGAUCCUGAACCCCCAG
rnacentral:lncRNA from 1 species